GCUCUCUCCUUGCUAGCAAGUCCAUUCCUUCCCUGGGAUCCCAGCAUCUCUACUGAAGACCAGUUGAGACCUCCAGCUUUGUAAACUGAGUGGAUCGUGGAUUUGAAAAAUUUCCAACCAUUGUAACAACUGAACUGCAGCUUGUAAACUUGAUCUAAGACCAAAAUCCAUUCCUGCCCAGGCUGACAAAAUGAACAUGACUUUGGAAGACAUCAUUAAGCUGAACAAGAUCCAGCAAAGAAGUCGCAACAGGCCUGAUCCCCGAAUGAAUCGAGGCACUGGGCCUAAGAGGUACAGGCCCGCUAUCACCCAUAGUGGCAGGAACAGGCUGGCACCAUACCGCAGACCAAAACAACUUCCAGACAAGUGGCAGCAUGACCGAUUCGUUGGUGGCUUCAGGGGUGGAAACCACAUGGAUACUGGUGGGAAGCUGCUCCUGUCAAACCUGCACUACAGAGUGUCAGAUGCUGAUAUUCAGAAACUCUUUGCUGAAUUUGGAACGUUGAGAAAAUCUGUGCACUAUGAUCGCUCUGGAUGAAGUUUAGGGACAGCACAUGUGCUCUUUGAAAGGAAAGCAGAUGCCCUGAAGGCUAUGAGACAGUACAAUGGUGCCUCUUUGGAUGGGAGCCCUAUGAACAUCCAGCUUGUCACUUCACAGAUUGAUACACAAGGAAGACCUGAACAAAGCAGAAACAGGGGCGGCAUGACAAGAAACCCUGGUUCUGGAGCGUUUGGUGGUGGAUGGUGGAUUCAUCUUUUGAUUCUUGUUAUUUCAUUUCUUAUUUUUCUCCUGUUUUAAAACCCAUGGAAAGCUCUUUCUUUCUCUCUUUUCUCUCUCUCUUUUUUCCUGUUUUUAAAAAAAUUCUGAGACAGACUUAUAUUUAGUUACCUUGAGAAUAAAUUAUAAUGCUUGC